rnacentral:rRNA from 1 species
GAGAAGCUUGCUUCUCUGAUGUUAGCGGCGGACGGGUGAGUAACACGUGGAUAACCUACCUAUAAGACUGGGAUAACUUCGGGAAACCGGAGCUAAUACCGGAUAAUAUUUUGAACCGCAUGGUUCAAAAGUGAAAGACGGUCUUGCUGUCACUUAUAGAUGGAUCCGCGCUGCAUUAGCUAGUUGGUAAGGUAACGGCUUACCAAGGCAACGAUGCAUAGCCGACCUGAGAGGGUGAUCGGCCACACUGGAACUGAGACACGGUCCAGACUCCUACGGGAGGCAGCAGUAGGGAAUCUUCCGCAAUGGGCGAAAGCCUGACGGAGCAACGCCGCGUGAGUGAUGAAGGUCUUCGGAUCGUAAAACUCUGUUAUUAGGGAAGAACAUAUGUGUAAGUAACUGUGCACAUCUUGACGGUACCUAAUCAGAAAGCCACGGCUAACUACGUGCCAGCAGCCGCGGUAAUACGUAGGUGGCAAGCGUUAUCCGGAAUUAUUGGGCGUAAAGCGCGCGUAGGCGGUUUUUUAAGUCUGAUGUGAAAGCCCACGGCUCAACCGUGGAGGGUCAUUGGAAACUGGAAAACUUGAGUGCAGAAGAGGAAAGUGGAAUUCCAUGUGUAGCGGUGAAAUGCGCAGAGAUAUGGAGGAACACCAGUGGCGAAGGCGACUUUCUGGUCUGUAACUGACGCUGAUGUGCGAAAGCGUGGGGAUCAAACAGGAUUAGAUACCCUGGUAGUCCACGCCGUAAACGAUGAGUGCUAAGUGUUAGGGGGUUUCCGCCCCUUAGUGCUGCAGCUAACGCAUUAAGCACUCCGCCUGGGGAGUACGACCGCAAGGUUGAAACUCAAAGGAAUUGACGGGGACCCGCACAAGCGGUGGAGCAUGUGGUUUAAUUCGAAGCAACGCGAAGAACCUUACCAAAUCUUGACAUCCUUUGACAACUCUAGAGAUAGAGCUUUCCCCUUCGGGGGACAAAGUGACAGGUGGUGCAUGGUUGUCGUCAGCUCGUGUCGUGAGAUGUUGGGUUAAGUCCCGCAACGAGCGCAACCCUUAAGCUUAGUUGCCAUCAUUAAGUUGGGCACUCUAAGUUGACUGCCGGUGACAAACCGGAGGAAGGUGGGGAUGACGUCAAAUCAUCAUGCCCCUUAUGAUUUGGGCUACACACGUGCUACAAUGGACAAUACAAAGGGCAGCGAAACCG